AAACUGUAUCACUGAUGCCAGAAUAAAUACAGACUGUGACAUUCCAGCAACUGGACACGAACAUCUACACAAGGAUGAAGACAUUACAUGCAAUGCUUCUGAUGCUGUUUGUUGCAUCAGUCUUUUCAAAAGCGUUUGAUUUGCGCAGAAGAUUUGAUUCAUCGGACUCUGUGCGAUCUAGUUUCAGUUCAGAGGAAAAUGAUUCAAGCAGGGAAGACAGGAAGGAUUCACAGUCCGAUGAGAGUUCUGAAUCCAAUGAGUCUAAAUCAAGUGAAUCUGAAUCUUCGGAAGAAGUUAUCAGAGUUGUGUCAAGCACAACAUCAGCUACCGCAACACAAGACAUCACACACUGUGUUACUGUGGAUCUGACAACUGUAAGAAGGGGUGAUAAUGAUAAUGUCAAUAUAAUACCUUGCAGUAAUACUAUUUAAUCAUCUUUUCUUGCAAAACAAACAAAAGUUGAAUGGUGUACUGUAUUUUACAGUAUAAAGUCAUAUUUAUGUACUGAUAAUGAAGGUCUUGAUACUGAAUGAUGUAACUUGAUGUAAAUGUGAUGUAAAAUUACUUUUAAAUUGCAUGUCCCCAUUAUGGUUUUAAAUGUUCAUUCAGAAUAAAAA